UACGUAAGGUGCAAGCGUUGUCCGGAAUUAUUGGGCGUAAAGAGCUUGUAGGCGGUUUGUCGCGUCUGCUGUGAAAUUUCGGGGCUCAACCCCGAACUUGCAGUGGGUACGGGCAGACUAGAGUGUGGUAGGGGAGACUGGAAUUCCUGGUGUAGCGGUGAAAUGCGCAGAUAUCAGGAGGAACACCGAUGGCGAAGGCAGGUCUCUGGGCCACUACUGACGCUGAGAAGCGAAAGCAUGGGGAGCGAACAGG
rnacentral:rRNA from 1 species